rnacentral:lncRNA from 1 species
UUCAUUCAUAGACUCAUUUAUUGAAGGCUGUCUGUGUAACAGGCACAAUCCUAGGUGCUUGGGAUAUAGCAGUGAACAAGAGACAAACCCCCUACUAUCAUGGUACUUACAUUUUUGUGGGCUGGAUAAUAAACAAGGGAUGUAAACAGCUGGAAAGAGCUUUGCUUCAAUCAUUACAACAAGGAAACUACAAACUUCUACCGUACAACAAGGAAAUGGACAAACUACAAAAUAAUUUUUCUAGGACCCUUCAGAGAACUGAGGUCACAGGGCAACCAAGUAAUCUUAAAUCUGGGGAAAGAAAGAUGCCAGCUGAGAGAAACAGGACUCAAGCUUUACUUACCU